UCUCCGUUGGUGAACCAGCGAAGGGAUCAUUACAGAGUUAUCUAACUCCCAAACCAUUGUGAACUUACCAUAUGUUGCCUCGGCAGAACCUACCCUGUAGCGGGCUGCCGGCGGACCUCUAAACUCUUGUUAUACUAUUGUAAUCUGAGCGUCUUAUUUUAAUAAGUCAAAACUUUCAACAACGGAUCUCUUGGUUCUGGCAUCGAUGAAGAACGCAGC
rnacentral:misc_RNA from 1 species